CUACGGGAGGCAGCAGUAAGGAAUUUUGGACAAUGGGCGCAAGCCUGAUCCAGCUAUGCCGCGUGUGGGAAGAAGGCCUUCGGGUUGUAAACCACUUUUGUCAGGGAAGAAACGGCCUUUUCUAAUACAAGGGGCUAAUGACGGUACCUGAAGAAUAAGCACCGGCUAACUACGUGCCAGCAGCCGCGGUAAUACGUAGGGUGCAAGCGUUAAUCGGAAUUACUGGGCGUAAAGCGUGCGCAGGCGGCUUUGCAAGACAGAUGUGAAAUCCCCGGGCUCAACCUGAGAACUGCAUUUGUGACUGCAUGGCUAGAGUACGGUAGAGGGGGAUGGAAUUCCGCGUGUAGCAGUGAAAUGCGUAGAUAUGCGGAGGAACACCGAUGGCGAAGGCAAUCCCCUGGACCUGUACUGACGCUCAUGCACGAAGGCGUGGGGAGCAAACAGGAUUAGAUACCCCCGUAGUCCC
rnacentral:rRNA from 1 species